UACGUAGGGGGCAAGCGUUGUCCGGAAUCAUUGGGCGUAAAGAGCGUGUAGGCGGCCCGAUAAGUCCGCCGUGAAAGUCCAGGGCUCAACCCUGGAAUGCCGGUGGAAACUGUCGGGCUGGAGUCCGGAAGAGGCGAAUGGAAUUCCUGGUGUAGCGGUGAAAUGCGCAGAUAUCAGGAGGAACACCAAUGGCGAAGGCAGCUCGCUGGGACGGUACUGACGCUGAGACGCGAAAGCGUGGGGAGCGAACAGG
rnacentral:rRNA from 1 species